GAGGCGACCGCUAUUGGAGUUCGAUUAAGCCAUGCGAGUAGAAAGAAAUUAGAUUCUUUGCAUACUGCUCAGUAACACGUGGAUAACCUGCCCUAUGCUGGGGGAUAAUCUCGGGAAACUGAGAAUAAUACCCAUAGGUCACCAUGCCUGGAACGGUUGGUGGCUCAAAGCCCCGGCGGCAUAGGAUGGGUCUGCGGCGUAUCAGGUAGUAGUGGGUGUAACGGACCCACUAGCCAUUGACGCGUACGGGUUGUGAGAGCAAUCGCCCGGAGAUGGAUCCUGAGACACGAAUCCAGACCCUACGGGGUGCAGCAGGCGCGAAAACUUCACACUGCAGGAAACUGUGAUGAGGGAACUCCAAGUGGUGCCACGAUAGUGGUACCUCUUCUUGACUCUUAAUAGGUCUUGGAAGAAGGGGUGGGAAAGACCGGUGCCAGCCGCCGGUAAUACCGGCACCCCAAGUGGUCGCCGCUUUUAUUGGGCCUAAAACGUCCGUAGCCUGUUUGGUAAGCCCGUGGGUAAAUCAACCAGCUUAACUGGUUGAAUUCUGCGGAGACUGCCAGACUAGGGACCGGGAGAGGUGUGGGGUACUCUUGGGGUAGGGGUAAAAUCCUGUCAUCCCAAGGGGACCACCUGUUGCGAAGGCGCCACACUGGAACGGAUCCGACGGUCAGGGACGAAGCCUAGGGGCACGAACCGGAUUAGAUACCCGGGUAGUCCUAGGUGUAAACGCUGUGGACUUGGUGUGGGGGGUCCGACAGGGGCUCCCUGUGCCGUAGCGAAGGUGUUAAGUCCACUGCCUGGGGAGUACGGUCGCAAGGCUGAAACUUAAAGGAAUUGGCGGGGGAGCACUGCAACGGGAGGAGCGUGCGGUUUAAUUGGAUUCACGC
rnacentral:rRNA from 1 species